UGAGGAAUAUUGGACAAUGGGCGCAAGCCUGAUCCAGCAAUGCCGCGUGCAGGAUGAAGGCCUUCGGGUUGUAAACUGCUUUUGUACGGAGCGAAAAGGUCUGCCCUAAUACGGUGGGCUCAUGGCGGUACCGUAAGAAUAAGCACCGGCUAACUACGUGCCAGCAGCCGCGGUAAUACGUAGGGUGCGAGCGUUAAUCGGAAUUACUGGGCGUAAAGCGUGCGCAGGCGGUUAUAUAAGACAGAUGUGAAAUCCCCGGGCUCAACCUGGGACCUGCAUUUGUGACUGUAUAGCUAGAGUACGGUAGAGGGGGAUGGAAUUCCGCGUGUAGCAGUGAAAUGCGUAGAUAUGCGGAGGAACACCGAUGGCGAAGGCAAUCCCCUGGACCUGUACUGACGCUCAUGCACGAAAGCGUGGGGAGCAAACA
rnacentral:rRNA from 1 species